GCGUUGUAUCCGCCUCCGUCUCCUUACUGUGUGUUUGCUUCUUGUUUCUGCUCGGUGCUGCCAAGAUGGCGGAUCGACGGAGGCAGCGCGCUUCUCAGGACAGUAGUGAGGAAGACGAAUCUGACUCGCCGCCCGGCAGCGCCGCCGCUUCCCCCCGCGGCACCCUCCGCCCUGGCUUGGCCGUGGCCGCCGCUGGCGGCAGUACAGGCGGCAAUGAGAGUGCUUGUGUCGAGAGUGUGGAAGCGGCGGUGGUGACGGUGGGAGGCAGCCCGGCCGACUCGGAGUGUGAAAGUGAAGACGGCAUAGAAGGAGAUGCUGUUCUCUCUGACUAUGAAAGUGCUGAGGACUCUGAGGGUGAGGAGGGGGAAUACAGCGAGGAAGAAACAUCCAAAGUGGACCUGAAGCAGGAUAAUAAUGACACUAAUGUGCUGGCAACAAAGGUGGACAAAGGGGAUGAAAAGCCAGAUUCUAAAGGUACUGUGGCAGGCGAGAGGCAGAGUGGAGAUGGACAGGAAAGCACUGAACAAGUUGAGAACAAGGUAGGCAAAAAAGUUCCCAAACAUCUGGAUGAUGACGAGGACAGGAAGAACCCUGCAUACAUACCUCGCAAAGGUCUCUUCUUUGAACACGACCUUCGUGGGCAGACCCAGGAAGAGGAAGUCCGGCCUAAGGGUCGUCAGCGUAAGCUUUGGAAAGAUGAGGGAAGGUGGGAGCAUGAUAAGUUCCGGGAGGAUGAGCAAGCACCAAAAUCAAGGCAGGAGCUGAUUGCUCUCUAUGGGUAUGAUAUCCGCUCAGCACACAACCCUGAUGACAUCAAACCCAGGAGGGUGCGCAAACCAAGGUUUGGGAGUCCACCACAGAGAGAGCCCAACUGGGCCAACGAGCGACCUAGUAAGCCGCCACGACACCAGAGCCUCGACAGUACUCCUAUACCACCUCGGACGUUCAUCAACCGGAACUCUGCAGGGACAGGACGGAUGCCCCCACCACGGACUUUCCCAAGACCUGGUGGCUACAAAGAGACCCGCCCAAGCUACCGUGCCGUGGAUGUAAAUAGUCAGCAUGCGCCUCGCUUUAGUGAGCAGUCAAAGCAUGAGAGCAGUUACCGGCCCAGGCGCUCAGAGCCGCUCCCACCACGAGAACCCUCUCCUGAGGCGGAGGUUCCGUAUGUUCGCAGCAGCCCUGUUAAAAAGGAAGAGGUUGUACCAGAAAGCCCAACAACUCCUGCAGAUUCUCUACCACCACCACCACCACCAGAUAGACCUGUGGAAAAGAAGUCCUACUCACGGGCAAGGAGGAGCCGGACCAAAGCAGGCGAGACAGGGAAAUUGGCAGAUGAAGUCCCACUUCCAUCAGGGUUGACACCUGCAGCGCUGAAAACUGCAGAGGUUAUACCAUCCCCCUCGCCGGCAAAGACUGGGAACUGGGAGGUGCCUGUUGAAGCGAAUCUAGAGAGUCUUGAGCAAGACAUGACCCAGCUGAAUAUAACGGAGCAGAAUUGGAACCCAGGGCAGCCCCAGUUCAUAGCACCUCAAGCAGGUAUUCCUAACCAGAUGCACAUUGGCGCAGCCCCACCACCUCAAUUCAACAGGCUGGAAGAGAUGGGAGUUCAGGGGGGGCGUGCCAAGCGUUACUCGUCGCAGCGACAGAGGCCUGUCCCAGAGCCUGCUCCACCCGUGCACAUAAGCAUAAUGGAAGGGCAUUACUAUGAUACAUUACAGUUCCAGGGACCGAUCUACACCCACAGCGAGAACCCUGCCCCACUGCCUCCCCAAGGAGUGAUUGUGCAGCCAGAAAUGCAUCUCCCCCAUCCAGGCUUACACCCACACCAAACACCCGCACCUUUGGCUAACCCUGGUUUAUAUCCUCCUCCGGUCUCCAUGCCUCCUGGACAGCAGCCUCCGCCACCGCCACCACAGCAGCUGCUAGCACCAACCUACUUCUCCCCUCCUCCUGGGGUGAUGAAUUUUGGCAGUCCUAGUUACCCCUACCCUCCAGGCGCACUUCCACCACCCCCACCUCCUCAUAUCUAUUCCAACGCUCAAGCCCAAUCUCAGGUGUAUGGCGGGGUCACCUAUUACAACACAGUCCAACAGCAAGUGCAGCCAAAACCUUCACCACCCCGAAGAACAUCCCAGCCGGUCACCAUCAAGCCACCUCCCCCUGAGGUUGUAAACAGGGUUCCAGUUAACGUUUGUAAACGCUAUUAAAGGAUGCACUGCGGUGGAUUCUGCAACCAAUAUUAUGGAAGUCUGGAUCCUAUCCAAGAACCAUAUUAUUGGUUACUGGUUUACUAGAAAGCUGUGGACACUGAGGCAUGGCAGGGUCACCAGGAUAGCCUGAAGUGUCUGUUAAAGGGAAGACUGGAUGAAAUGGUCAAGUAAACAUGGCAACUGUAAAUCUCCUGCAGAAUCAGGACAGUAGAAAUGAAAAAUCCAAAGAGAGGAACACCACCUAAGGACUCUGCAUGUUGCUGGAUUCAAUAGAGUACCAGAGCUGGCACCUGUGGCAGGCAGAAGGCAGCUCCUCUAUGUGGAGGCUCUCUCUUCUUCUUUCCCUGGUAAUAUAGGCGACGCUUCUGGAUGCUGGAGUGCCUCCUGUGCCAUACCGUGUCAGUAUUGUGACUGGGGCCAGGUUCCAUAGGAGGGUACCAGCAAAACCACAUAUCUUGUCGGCACCCCCAUUCCCCCACUAUAGCCUGAAACAGAGAAACUCUGCAGACAUUGUUGGAUGUAAGAAAGACCUGCUCGCAGAGAGAAACCAUCUGCAUUCUGUUCCCUUCUAAGUGUGUGGAGUGUUUUAAGUGUUGAACUAAAAUUGCCCGAUUCGUCUUUGUGUUAAUUUCCUAUUGGAAGAACCCGACAUUACUUGCUUUCUGUUCUGUUUAUACUGGUCUUGUUAACUUUUCUUGAGUUGUAUGAAUCUGUUGUCCUUGGCUAAUUUCUUCAGUAAUAUAUUUUAAAAGUAAGUCAUACUACUUGUGCAAAUUCUGUUAGUUUCUUGCAUUGAAAUUAUAGAGGAAUCUGGGAAAGGGCUACCGAAUCUAAAGCUGCUCCCCCUCCUCCCGAAAACCUCCCAGUUUACACAAGAUUGUUCUUGUGUAAACCAACAGGGACAUCUGUGGGUACCCUGUAGACAUAAAACUGUGUGAUCUGGCCAGCCCCAGUAUGUCCUCUAGAAGGGGCCUUUUUCUGCCUCUUGAAACAGCACUGACCAAUUUUCAGAAUUCUUGAAACGAUACCCCACAGGCUCUCAGCCUGCUUGCCUGCAAUUUGCAGAUUUUUUUUUUCCUUGCAAGCUGCAUGGCUUCCACCAAAUCCCCCACUCUUUGUAUGUAUUUUUCAAUAUACUGUACACACAAAACCAUGCUAGGGGGAGGCAAACCUCAAUUGGCUAAUAUACAACCACUCUGACUGGAGGAAGGAGAUGUCUAGAACUGGAAUGACCCUGGCACCGGAUUUCUGACCCUGUCAUUAUUCCAGGCUUGUCUGCUUUUCUGGGUGAUUCUGCCCCCCCAUGCAUGUGUAGUUUCCUAACUCGUACCAGGACUUGCCAUUUUUUUUUUAAAAAAUUGAUAACUCCUUUUUUAGUUUUUAAAUGAGUACAGCUGGCAUUGUAAGGAAAAGACCUUUAUGUUCUAAAUGUAUUUUUUCCCUCUGCCUUAAGGUUUGAAAUGUAUCCAUUUAACAUAUCAGUCUUGAAAUCUUAGACCUAACGACACUGUGAUAGCUAAUUUUUGUUAAUAAAUUUUUUUGUUCCCAUUGUU